UGCCCGAGUCAUGCAGUUUAUUUUUA
rnacentral:piRNA from 1 species